UACAGAGGUCUCAAGCGUUGUUCGGAAUUACUGGGCGUAAAGGGUGCGUAGGCCGCACGGGCAGUCAAAUGUGAAAUUCUGGGGCUCAACCUCAGAAUUGCGCUUGAUACUUCCGUGCUCGAACCUUGGAGAGGAGUCUGGAAUUCUCGGUGUAGCAGUGAAAUGCGUGGAUAUCGAGAAGAACACUAAGGGCGAAGGCAAGACUCUAGACAAGUGUUGACGCUGAUGCACGAAGGCUAGGGUAGCGAAC
rnacentral:rRNA from 1 species